GGCAGCUGCGGCGACUCCCCCCUUUGUGUCUGGUCUGCUCCAAGCCACUGGAAGUGCUUCCCGGAGAGGCAGUGGGUGUCUCGCCGGCUUGCUGCCCACCCUUUUUCCCAGCAACCUACAUCAGCCCUCCCGCCGCCCCCCGCCCUCGGCCCGCGACGCCCGAGCUCCGCCCGGAGCCUAGAGCUGCGGGAGAACGAGGCGGCGGCGGCGGCGGCGGCGGCGACAGCAGCAGCAGCAGCAGCUUCUUUCUCGGGGGUUUGUGAUUCGUUCACAGGAGCCAUUGAUGGGCGAAGACGAAGCUUUCAUGGUGGAAUUCACGUCAGGCAAGAUCGAGGGGCAGGAAUAGCCUCAAGCGAGAGAGAAGGCGCGCGUUCGGCACGGAGAGAAGGGGCAGCUUUCCGUAUCUCACCGCGACGCGCCGCCUCGGAGCUCGGGCCCUGCCUGCCGCCCCCCCCACCCCCCCUCCUCGCGCCGCCCGGCAGCCCGCGGCCGGGCCUGCGCGACCCUCGCGCGAUUGUUCCGCGGGGUGUGUAGGCUUGGGCUUGCCCAUGGAGGCAACCGCCGUUUUCGAUCUCGUCGAAGGAGAGGAUUUGUUGUUCUCGAAAUCGGAGUGAAGGAAGCACCGAAGCGAAACUUUAAAAGGAAUCCUGCUUUCCUCGAGCUGCGGGCGAUGCGACUCGGGCCGCCGGGCGCCGCUGCCGCCCGCCGGGCUUCGCCCUUCGCGGCAGUCCGGAACUUGUUCUGAUCCUCGGCCCCCCAUCGAAUCCCCGCCCUCCACUCCUCUGCUCCUUUGGAUAUGUUUUCUCGCAGACCUGGAUAUUUUUUUCAUAUCGUGAAACUACGAGGAAAAUAACUGCCGGGAUUCUUUCUGCUCCCCCUGUUUCUCCCCACGGACAUGCCUUCAGUUUGGGGGGCCGAGGCACCCCCUCCUAGGCGAAUGAAGCCCCCCAGUCGCGAGGGAGCGAAAUGAAGGGAAUUUCUGCAGCGGAAUGAAAGCUCUGCAGCUAGGUCCUCUCAUCUGCCAUUUGUCCUUUCAAACUGCAUUGUAAUACGGGCAGGAUAAGUCAGACGGGAGAAGACCAGCCUCCCUGCCGGAUUUGUCUGCCCGUAUUUACUUUCCAUAUAUAUAUUUUUCCCCCUCCUGCUUCUUGACUGGUCCAGGGAUGACUUCCUCGCUGCAGCGGCCCUGGCGGGUGCCCUGGCUACCGUGGGCCAUCCUGCUGGUCAGCACUGCGGCCGGUGAGUAGCCCCGGGUAGCGCGUCCCGGCCACUUGCCCAGCGGUGGCGAGGGAGGGAGCC
rnacentral:lncRNA from 1 species